rnacentral:rRNA from 1 species
GACGAACGCUGGCGGCGUGCUUAACACAUGCAAGUUGAACGGAAAGGCCCUGCUUUUGUGGGGUGCCCGAGUGGCGAACGGGUGAGUAACACGUGAGUAACCUGCCCUUGACUUUGGGAUAACUUCAGGAAACUGGGGCUAAUACCGGAUAGGAGCUCCUGCUGCAUGGUGGGGGUUGGAAAGUUUCGGCGGUUGGGGAUGGACUCGCGGCUUAUCAGCUUGUUGGUGGGGUAGUGGCUUACCAAGGCUUUGACGGGUAGCCGGCCUGAGAGGGUGACCGGCCACAUUGGGACUGAGAUACGGCCCAGACUCCUACGGGAGGCAGCAGUGGGGAAUAUUGCACAAUGGGCGGAAGCCUGAUGCAGCAACGCCGCGUGCGGGAUGACGGCCUUCGGGUUGUAAACCGCUUUCGCCUGUGACGAAGCGUGAGUGACGGUAAUGGGUAAAGAAGCACCGGCUAACUACGUG